CCUACGGGAGGCAGCAGUGGGGAAUAUUGCACAAUGGGGGAAACCCUGAUGCAGCGACGCCGCGUGAGUGAAGAAGUAAUUCGUUAUGUAAAGCUCUAUCAGCAGGGAAGAAAAUGACGGUACCUGAGUAAGAAGCCCCGGCUAACUACGUGCCAGCAGCCGCGGUAAUACGUAGGGGGCAAGCGUUAUCCGGAUUUACUGGGUGUAAAGGGAGUGUAGACGGCAGUGCAAGUCUGGAGUGAAAGGCGGGGGGUCAACCCCCGGACUGCUCUGGAAACUGUACGGCUGGAGUGCAGGAGAGGUAAGUGGAAUUCCUAGUGUAGCGGUGAAAUGCGUAGAUAUUAGGAGGAACACCAGUGGCGAAGGCGGCUUACUGGACUGUAACUGACGUUGAGGCUCGAAAGCGUGGGGAGCAAACAGGAUUAGAUACCCCAGUAGUC
rnacentral:rRNA from 1 species